rnacentral:rRNA from 1 species
GAGUUUGAUACCUGGCUCAAGAUUGAACGCUGGCGGCAUGCUUUACACAUGCAAGUCGAGCGGCAGCGCGAGGGCAACCUUGGCGGCGAGCGGCGAACGGGUGAGUAACACAUCGGAACGUAUCCCGUAGUGGGGGAUAACCCGGCGAAAGCCGGGCUAAUACCGCAUAUGCUCUACGGAGGAAAGUGGGGGACUUCGCAAGAGGCCUCACGCUAUGGGAGCGGCCGAUGGCCGAUUAGCUAGUUGGUGGGGUAAAGGCCUACCAAGGCGACGAUCGGUAGCUGGUCUGAGAGGAUGAUCAGCCACACUGGGACUGAGACACGGCCCAGACUCCUACGGGAGGCAGCAGUGGGGAAUUUUGGGACAAUGGGGGCAACCCUGAUCCAGCCAUGCCGCGUGAGUGAAGAAGGCCUCGGUUGUAAGA